rnacentral:tRNA from 1 species
UCCUCGGUAGUAUAGGGGUAAGUAUCCCCGCCUGUCGUGAGGGAGACCGGGGUUCGAUUCCCGCCGGGGGA